GCCUGAUUCCCCUUCAGGGUCCUCUGAAACCAGAGACCCACUCUGGAUAUUCAACUCAGGAUGGUUUUGGCUGUUAUUAACCUGGGAAUCCUGGCUUCAGUCUAGAACCCUUUUGAGGAUUCUAGUUUACAUUACCAAAAUCUUAUACCAAGAAACAGCAGUUGCAGAAGUUACUGUAAAUAUGGACAACCCACUAUGCUCAUAUUAAUUUAAUUUUUACAUAUUUAUAUCUGCAGUUCCUGAAAAGGCAGAGGCAUGUACAGUUGUGCUGACUAGCUCCCGUUUAUCAUCCUUUUUACUCCACACUUGUACAUGCAUGGAUAGUGCAUCAUUUGGUUAAACUGACUUUUUUCCCUAUACCCAGAACCAGUACAUUCUCUCUUCUGCAUAGUCUAAAUGGAAUGUAAAACUUUUGUUUAUACUGUUGAGAAGUUUGGUAAAAAGUAUGCAUGUGUGUAUAUUUAGUGUAGUUGUAUUGUUUUCUGUUAUCUCAGAAAAAAUUAAAGUUAUCUGUGAGUAUUUUCCUAAUAUUCAACAGCUUAGGAAAAUAUUCAAGAGUUUAGGGAAGUUGACGUUUUUCACUAACAACGUAUGCUUUUCUUUAAAUAGCGCAUCACAUAUGGUUGUCUCUUUAGUGGAAGAUUAUCCAAAUUACAUGAUCAUAAAUCUAGACAAGCUGGAUUACUGUGCAAGCUUGAAGAAUCUUGAAAUCAUUUCUAACAAACAGAACUACAAAUUUAUACAGGGUGACAUAUGUGAUUCUCACUUUGUGAAACAGCUUUUUGAAACAGAGAAAAUAGAUAUAGUACUACAUUUUGCUGCGCAAACACAUGUAGAUCUUUCAUUUGUACGUGCCUUUGAGUUUACCUAUGUUAAUGUUUAUGGCACUCAUGUUUUGGUAAGUGCUGCUCAUGAAGCCAGAGUGGAGAAAUUUAUUUAUGUCAGCACAGAUGAAGUAUAUGGUGGCAGCCUUGAUAAGGAAUUUGAUGAAUCUUCACCCAAACAACCUACAAAUCCUUACGCAUCAUCUAAAGCAGCUGCUGAAUGUUUUGUACAGUCUUACUGGGAACGAUAUAAGUUUCCAGUUGUUAUCACAAGAAGCAGUAAUGUUUAUGGACCACAUCAAUAUCCAGAAAAGGUUAUUCCAAAAUUUAUAUCUUUGCUACAGCACAACAGGAAAUGUUGCAUUCAUGGAUCAGGGCUUCAAACAAGAAACUUCCUUUAUGCUACUGAUGUUGUGGAAGCAUUUCUCACUGUCCUCAAAAAAGGGAAACCAGGUGAAAUUUAUAACAUCGGAACCAAUUUUGAAAUGUCGGUUGUCCAGCUUGCCAAAGAACUAAUACAACUGAUCAAAGAGACCAAUUCAGAGUCUGAAAUGGAAAAUUGGGUUGAUUAUGUUAAUGAUAGACCUACCAAUGACAUGAGAUAUCCAAUGAAGUCAGAAAAAAUACAUGGGUUAGGAUGGAGACCUAAAGUGCCUUGGAAAGAAGGAAUAAAGAAAACAAGAUGUUCAGGAGACCCGAGUCUCUGAGGAAAGCAGAACUUCCAUAGCCCUAAGGUGAAACUGCAAAUGCAGCCAGUUUCUGAUCAUCUGUGGUUGAGAUGGAAAAGAACAUGUUCAGCAGAUCAGUGGCUGGAUACUGUGUUCCAGGGGCCUUCUCAUCUGCUUCAGCAAAGAAGAUGCCACAUGAGCACAGCAGCUACCAUUGGAGCCUGCUUUUUCUGGCAAUACUGUAGAAGAUGAAUUUCAGGAAGACAAGAAUGAGUUCCUGCAGGGAUUGAAGUUAUGAAGCUGCUGCAGUAAAUCAGGCUGGUGAUGAUAAGGCCUAAAGCACUGCACCGCAAACAGGGAGAGUCUGGGACGGAUGUGAGAACAUUUUAGAUGUAAAGACUUACUGAUUGAUGAUACAUUGGAGGUGCUGUUUCUUGACGUGGGUGGUAUUUUAAGGUUUUUAAUGUUGGAUUGGAAAGUGUGGAGGAUAGUGGAUUACAUUUAGGAGAUGUUGAGUUUGGGGAGACGCUGAGCUUUAAGGGUUCAUGGGACAUGUUAAGUAGAGAUACCUGGUCAACAGUGAAGUAUGUGAAUGGUUAUUAACAUCUGAAAGUGGAUUAAAUCCCCCCAAGGAGAGUAUAUGGAAUGACAGGGUUGAUGGCUGGUGGAAUGAUUUACAGACAAGCCAUGAGAAACACCAAUGUGUAAGCUAAAUGCAAGCAGCCCAAGGAAAUUAAGAAGGAAUGGUUAAAAAAAAUCAAAAAAUCACUCCCACUGCUUCACUUGACUAGCCUUAAAAAACAAUCCAUCAAUCAAUUUUAAAAUAAGAAGGAAUAGUCAGAGGAGAGGAAUAAAGGAAGAAAUAAUGCCACCAAAGCAAAACGAAAAGACAUUCAAUAACCAGCAGAUGGCCAGCCAAAGUUAAGUGUCCACUGGUUUUUGGCAACGUGCAGGCAAAUUUUCUUGUGUGAGAAGAGGGAGAGAGCCUCUGGAUAAUACAGAUGGAGUAGUAAUUAGGAAUCCAGGGAUAGAAAAAUGGAAUUUAGCCUUUCAUUGAGCUAAGAAGAGUCAGGAUGGGGUCAUCCCUAAGGAAGGCACAGGCUUAAGGAAAGGUCUUCAGAAGCUACUGUAUUUUGUUUUUGGCAUGGAAUGGACUUCUGUAUGAUUAUAAGCUGAACAGACGAGCAAUAGAUGAAGAAAGAUCAGUGAUAUUCAGGAGUAUGUAAUUAAUGGAGUACAGUGUCCAUGGAAAUGGGCUCCCUAGGAAAGGACUCAUUUGGGGAUGGGGUUGGUCCCAUCUUUUUGGAUCAGUAAUGGCAGGAGUUGAGAUGAGAUUGGAUACAGUGACUUUUUGGGAGGGAUGUGAGGGAAUUCACCAUGGCCUCAAUUUUGCUCCUGAAAGUGGGGGAGGCAACAGGAGAGAAGUGAGUUUUGUAGUCUCAGAGGAGAAUGGGAGCAGCAGCUCUAUCACUGCCCAGUGAAGGUGUAGCCACGUUUGAUGGCCAUAAAUUUAUACUCUUACAACUACUGAAAAAAUGCUGCAUUGACCAUCUCAGUGUACACCUGUGUGUACACAGGAGAGUGUAUUUCUGAAGGAUUAAUGCCUAGAUAUGGUAUAUCUGGGUCCAAAAGUACGUGCUGGGUCCAAAAGUACGUGAAAGAUAUAGAUGAAAUUCCUGCACUCUAGUCAGCCACAGGUAUUAAAAGACCUUUAAUUUUUGCCAGUGUGAAAGAUGCAAAAAUUGUUUUAUUGCGCUUCUAGAAUCUUUAGCUAGCUUGAAUCUCUCUUUGACCUCACUUGCAGAUACUGAAGUUGUGCCCUCCAUAUUACCAUCCUACUGUACUCAUACAAUUUACCUGU